CAUCCGCUCAAAAAAAAUAAAACCCACCCCGCGAUCUCUCUGCCCUCUCUUCCUUAUCUCUUCCUCUCCCGAUCUGAGCGGCGGCGGCGGCGACGCUCGCAUCCGGCAACGCUUCCACCCCUCUGCCCACCUCUUCCUCCCACCACUCCAUCACCAUCCCCACAUCGCUGCUGAUUUCCCAUGCGGAGGUGGUCCUGUGGCGCCGAUGCCCUUAGCCAGCUGCCGGCGGCGGCACUUUUUGUUCGUGCCCAAGCGCCCGGUGAGGCCACCUCUCACCUCCCUCCUAUGGUGCCACCGCCCCCAACCCAUACGCAGCUUCCUCUUCCCCGCUCCCAUGGUAGCAGAUCUGAGUGGUACAAGGUCCCUUCGGUCCUGGUGGUUCGGAAUGAGGCGGGCGGCCUCUGCUCCCUUAUCUUCUGGCGGGUGGCUGGUGCCCCAAUCUCUCUUAGCCAUCUAUGGCGGCAACGACAUCAGGAAGCUCUCUCUUUCUCUCUCUAGUUAGUACUAGUUUGCCGGAAGAGAAGAGAUGUCUAUGUAUGGUGAUGAUGAGUCCAUGUUGUUGUAUCCCUAAUUCACUCUGUGGUGGUCCAGAUUAUAUGCUUGAGAAGAUCGACAGCGUCGACAAGAGCAUCGGCUGGUAUCUCUGCAUCCUCUUCUACAACCAUUUAAGCAUAACAGUGGCUGGGCUGCAGCCCAACUAAUAAAGAGAGGAUCAGAAUGUUACUUCACCUGCGACUUGAUUUUGAAUGCCGACCACUACAAUGAAAGCAACUCAGGAGCUUGCUCUUGGAUCAAUGGGCUUGGAGAAUGAGUUUGCAAAUGUUGUAAUGCAUCAGCUUGAAGUCAGGGUUUAAUGAUAGAUAUACGCCCAAAUAGUCCAAUCCUAGGGGUUCUUUUGAGCUCCUAGAUCCAAUAUAUUCUGCCCUUGAAGUUUUUGUGGUUAUGCUGACGCCAACAUGAUUAUUUUGGCUGAACGCGGAACCUGAAGUCUACAUGCCUUGAUACAUUUCAUUUUGAUGGCAUCUACCGAAGCUAUCGCUCAACCGGCGGAUCUAGCGCGGGUGUCCGCCGCCUCCUUUUAUCAACACGUGGCCUACCUCCGACGUGCUCGCAGUGAAUGAUGGUGGUGUUUUUGUUUUGCAACAUCUACUCUGUUGCAAGAAAUAUUUCUGCAACAUCAGUUAUGUUACAUAAGUUUCUUCCAUAACACCAUAUAGAGGUGAAGACAGAGAAAAAAAAAUUCUGCAACAUCAUCUUAGUUGCAAAGUUUUUCUGCAACAUUACCUUUGUUGCAAAAAAAAGUGAAGAUGGAAAAAAAUUUGCAACA